rnacentral:tmRNA from 1 species
GGGGUCGUUCAGGUUUUGACAGCGAGUGCGAUUUUUAUGUAAGCAUGUGGUGUGUUGUGAAUAUGGCACCUAAAUCCUAAUUCUCAAAAUUCUAUCUGGCGAGUCUAACUACGCUAUGGCUGCUUAAUACCAAGUAUUAAGUGCCUUUGUUUCCGGAGAAGCUCUGAUCUUCUGCGUCUCCUGUGAAGCAUUACAAAUGAAGAAAUAGUUGCGAAGAGUUUCGAUUCGUGAUGAGAUAAAGAAACUAAGUAGGUCUUGUGGCGCGUAAACUUGCCUAAAUCUAUCGAAAAUCAAAAGUUUGCUAAACAUGUAGAAAGCCUAUUAAUUCCUUGUUUGGACGAGGGUUCGAAUCCCUCCGACUCCACCU